rnacentral:pre_miRNA from 1 species
UAGUUGUGUUCUAAGUCAAACUUCUUUAACUUUGACCAAGUUUCUAGAAAAAUAUAUUAAGAGCUACAAUACCAAAUAAAUGCACUAUCAAGAUAUAUUUUAUGGUGGAUUUAAUGAAACUAAUUUGAUGUUGUAGGUGUUGGUGUGUCUUUCUAUAAACUUAGUCAAAGUUUGAGGGGUUUGACUUAGGACAAAACUAA